AUACGGAGGAUCCGAGCGUUAUCCGGAUUUAUUGGGUUUAAAGGGUGCGCAGGCGGCCAUUUAAGUCAGCGGUGAAAUCGUGGGGCUCAACCCCAUUCUGCCGUUGAUACUGGGUGGCUUGAUUGCGGUCGAGGUUGGCGGAAUUCGUUGUGUAGCGGUGAAAUGCAUAGAUAUGACGAAGAACACCGAUUGCGUAGGCAGCUGACCAGACCGCAAAUGACGCUCAUGCACGAAAGUGCGGGGAUCGAACAGGAUUAGAUACCCUGGUAGUCCGCACAGUAAACGAUGAAUACUUGUUUUCGGCGAUAUAAUGUCGGAGGCAAAGCGAAAGCGAUAAGUAUUCCACCUGGGGAGUACGCCGGCAACGGUGAAACUCAAAGGAAUUGACGGGG
rnacentral:rRNA from 1 species